CCGGUUGAUCUCGCCGGACCCCACUGCUAUCGAGGUGAGACUAAGCCAUGCCAGUUGAACGCCUUUGGACUAUGGCAAAGGAGUAGCACACUGCUCAGUAACACGUAGCUAACCUACCCUUGGGACGGUGAUAACCCCGGGAAACUGGGGUCAAUAACUGAUAGGUAUGGAUUCCUGGAAUGGUUCUAUACUGAAAUGUUUGUAUACCCAUGUCGUGUGCAUAUACCCGAGGAUGGGGCUGCGGCCGAUCAGGCUGUUGGUGAGGUAACGGCUCACCAAACCUUUGACCGGUACGGGCCAUGAGAGUGGUAGCCCGGAGAUGGGCACUGAGACAAGGGCCCAGGCCCUACGGGGCGCAGCAGGUACGAAACCUCCACAAUUCACUAAAGUGAGAUGGGGUUACCUCGAGUGCCGCCUGAAAAAGGCGGCUUUUCCAUUGUGUAACAAGCUGUGGGAAUAAGGGGGGGGCAAGACUGGUGUCAGCCGCCGCGGUAACACCAGCCCCCCGAGUGGUGGGGAUGCUUAUUUGGCCUAAAGCGUCCGUAGCCGGCUCAGUAAAUCUCUCGUUAAAUCCAGCGUCCUAAGCGUUGGGCUGCGAGGGAGACUGUUGAGCUAGAGGGUGGGAGAGGUCAGCGGUAUUUCUGGGGUAGGGGCGAAAUCCAUUGAUCCCAGGAGGACCACCAGUGGCGAAGGCUGCUGACUAGAACACGCCUGACGGUGAGGGACGAAAGCUGGGGUAGCGAAUCGGAUUAGAUACCCGAGUAGUCCCAGCCGUAAACGAUGCAGGCUAGGUGUUGGGUUGGCCACGCGCCGACUCAGUGCCACAGGGAAGCCAUUAAGCCUGCCGCCUGGGGAGUACGGCCGCAAGGCUGAAACUUAAAGGAAUUGGCGGGGGAGCAC
rnacentral:ncRNA from 1 species